AGAGUUUGAUCCUGGCUCAGAACGAACGCUGGCGGCGUGCCUAACACAUGCAAGUCGAACGAGAAAUCCGACACUCAGGCAACUGAGUGUUAGAGAGUAAAGUGGCGCACGGGUGAGUAACGCGUGGGUAACCUACCCUUGAAACCGGGAUAACUCCGCGAAAGCGGGACUAAUACCGGAUGUGGUUCCAUCAGCCUCGGCUUUUGGAAUUGAAGGUGACCUCUUCAUGAAAGUUGCCGUUCAGGGAUGGGCUCGCGUACCAUUAGCUUGUUGGUAGGGUAAUGGCCUACCAAGGCGACGAUGGUUAGCUGGUCUGAGAGGAUGAUCAGCCACACUGGAACUGGAACACGGUCCAGACUCCUAUGGGAGGCAGCAGUGAGGAAUUUUGCGCAAUGGGGGAAACCCUGACGCAGCAACGCCGCGUGAGCGAAGAAGGCCCUCGGGUCGUAAAGCUCUGUCAAGUGGGAAAAAGGCCCCUCGAUAAAUAGUCGAUGGGCUUGAUGGUACCGCUGGAGGAAGCACCGGCUAACUCCGUGCCAGCAGCCGCGGUAAUACGGAGGGUGCAAGCGUUGUUCGGA
rnacentral:rRNA from 1 species